rnacentral:rRNA from 1 species
GGAUGAACGCUGGCGGCGUGCCUAAUACAUUCAAGUCGAGCGAACAGACGAGGAGCUUGCUCCUCUGACGUUAGCGGCGGACGGGUGAGUAACACGUGGAUAACCUACCUAUAAGACUGGGAUAACUUCGGGAAACCGGAGCUAAUACCGGAUAAUAUAUUGAACCGCAUGGUUCAAUAGUGAAAGACGGUUUUGCUGUCACUUAUAGAUGGAUCCGCGCCGCAUUAGCUAGUUGGUAAGGUAACGGCUUACCAAGGCAACGAUGCGUAGCCGACCUGAGAGGGUGAUCGGCCACACUGGAACUGAGACACGGUCCAGACUCCUACGGGAGGCAGCAGUAGGGAAUCUUCCGCAAUGGGCGAAAGCCUGACGGAGCAACGCCGCGUGAGUGAUGAAGGUCUUCGGAUCGUAAAACUCUGUUAUUAGGGAAGAACAAAUGUGUAAGUAACUAUGCACGUCUUGACGGUACCUAAUCAGAAAGCCACGGCUAACUACGUG